AUUCAUCUGACGAGUCACAAAUUAGACGAAACGCGCGUCCUUGAU
rfam:Schistosoma rodhaini strain Burundi genome assembly, scaffold: SROB_scaffold0000056